rnacentral:ncRNA from 1 species
CGAAACGCAGUGACUGGGAUUAUUAAGGAAUGUUUAUUGUUUAGAGAGCUGUCGGCUGGUGAAAGACAGUCAAUAAAGUCCCCAACUCGCCCACGAGUGGUAAGGCUGAUAUGUAAGUCUUAACGGUUGACAUCCGUAAUCAGUUAUAAAGUGGAUUUGUUGUAAUAGCAAAUUAACAAGAGUGGUACCACGAAGGUAAAGCCUAUCGUCUCUUAU